AUGAACUGUGCGGAAGCAUAUGUCAGGUUUCUUUGUCAGUGGUUGCUUGACCAUUGCUAUGGCGAUAUGGAGAUCAUGACCAAAUUUAUUGAUAGAACUGCCCUCAAAAGACUUGAAAUGGUUGCAAAAUCCAAGUUUCACAGAGUCGCUUACAGUGAGGCAGUUGCCAUUCUUGAGGAAGCAAUGAGAAAAUUUGAGAAUAAAGCAGAAUGGGGGAUUAUUUAGCUUCUGAACAUGAAAGAUAUCGUCUAUAACCAUCCAAAAGCAAGCAACGCCAGAAAUAUGAAGGUCAAUGAAGAAAAUAAAACUGUUGCUAUAAUGGACGUGCUUGUACCUAAGAUGGGGGAACUUAUUGGUGGUAGCCAAAGAGAAGAGAAUUACGAGGUUCUAAAGCAAAGGUGAGCAAGCUUGUGGAUUUGUAUAAGGGAAGUUUGGAAGAAUGGUCGCAGAAGGCGGUAGAGCUAGAGGGAGUCGUCAAGUCUUUAGAAAAAUUUUGGUUGAGGAAUUGCGAACUUAUCUAUUUGUCUUCAUGCAUGGUCACCAUUAAUGGAAUGUGUAUGAGGUGGCAAUGAGG